GAGAGAACUAUGCUGGAAUUUCACACCUGCUUGGAGUUCGGAAAUGCAACAGCAGUGCCCAUGAAUGUAAAGCUUUCAUCUAAUUAACAAUGCCUCAUCAGAUGUGAAAUCAUUAAUUAAAGAAGAUUCCUCAAUUUUUCUCUCUGACCUGUCACAGUUACUUGUUUAGUCAGCAUUAAGAAUUCUGCAGCAUCUUCAAAGGCUUUUCAAGACACCACCUGUGAACUAAUUACACUGAAGGAGGUGAGGUUUUUAAAUGUUGACUCAGUUUGGGGUGUUUUCAAAACCUUUGGCUCCAUGUUGAAACCCUACAAAGGAUCUGUGUCCUUCCAGCAGCAAAACCUUCUCCAG